ensembl:lncRNA
UACAUUUUGAUCAGAUACCGCAUACGCCGAUAGUCAGAAGUCAAUUUAAUUACAUGAUGAGACCAUUGAUUAAAAGAUAUUGAAGCUAAAGUAAAGUUCUCUUUAAUUUUGUUGAAAACCUGUUUAUGAUUAUUAUUAUGUAUUUAUAUUAUUUAUGUAUUUAUAUUAUUUAUUUAUUUUUAUUUUUAUUUUCCAGCUAGUUUUAUCUUUAUAGUAGCUUUUGUUAACAGUAAUAAUAACCUUGCUGUGCAUUCAUAUUUCACAGUUGAAUUAAUCAAGCAGGUGAUCCUAAUAUGCUUUAUAUAUAUUUAUAUAUUUAAAGUGGCAGACAAGUGUGUGCUUGGAAUAAACAGAUGAUAUUGUCCGCUGGUAUGGACGCUUAUAUAGUUAUCUUUAUAGCUAUUUUUCUUGGUGUGAAGAGGCCUUUAAGCUUUGUUCAGUAUGGCGCAAUUACAAACUGCUCUCAGGCUGGAAUUCUACUGAGCUGGUAAAAUGCGUGUAGUGAUGACCCCACUCAGGAUUGCUCACUUGUUUGUUGUCUGGUUACUAGUUUCUGUCUGUUGCUUGCCAAGCACAAUAUUUGAGUGAAGUAAAAUAUAUGAUCAUCCUCCAUAAUGCGUCACUAUUUUCAUCUCAUACUGUAUGUAAACACUUGCGUUACCAAGUUGUAUGUACAGUUGUAUGUAUUAUUAGGAUACAGAUGUAUACUUAUUGUUCCUAUGUCUGUGUUUGUUCAGGCAAAGCUCCAGUGGCUGUGUGAGGAGGUGCGUGAGCGGGAGUUCAGAGAGAAGAGGUUGAGGAGAACACUGCAGCAGCACAAGUGGCAGAUAAAAGCACUGAAGCAAACCAAAGACUCAAAAAUGCAGAGCCUCCUGAACCACAUUACCUUGCAGGAUUGGCUUAUCAAAGACAUCCAAUCAGAGAAGAGAGUGGUGACUAAAAUGGUCUGCGUACAACAGCACAGAUGCAAGGUAAAUGUUGAGACAGAAAACACAGAAAAGGAAUUACGCUUGGGCCUUUAUCCCCACAGCAGCCGAGAACUCUGAAUUGCUUCCUCUUGAGCAGCAGCUGAAACAUCAAGCUCUUCUGUCUUCUAUAUCUGAUAGAAUUCUUGCUUAUACAGGUCUUGCUUCACCCUGGUAAUAGAAACAGGAUCAGGAAAGAUUGCAGUCACUGACCUUAUUCUAAAAAUUUACUGGCGCUCCAAUAGAUGUCUUUGACAACACUAGCCAGAUCUCUCCCUUAGUUUGACUUGUUUCUGGAAAAAAAUAAAUAAGAAAAUGAAACUGCUUAAAUACCA